AUUGAACGCUGGCGGCAUGCCUUACACAUGCAAGUCGAACGGUAACGGGCCUUCGGGUGCCGACGAGUGGCGAACGGGUGAGUAAUGUAUCGGAACGUACCUUUCAGUGGGGGAUAACGUAGCGAAAGUUACGCUAAUACCGCAUAUUCUGUGAGCAGGAAAGCAGGGGAUCGCAAGACCUUGCGCUGAUUGAGAGGCCGAUAUCAGAUUAGCUAGUUGGUGAGGUAAAGGCUAACCAAGGCGACGAUCGGUAGCGGGGUUGAGAGAAUGAUCCGCCACACGGGAACUGAGACACGGUCCAGACUCCUACGGGAGGCAGCAGUGGGGAAUUUUGGAAAAUGGGGGCGACCCUGAUCCAGCCAUGCCGCGUUAGUGAAGAAGGCCUUCGGGUUGUAAAGCUCUUUCGGCCGGGAAGAAAUCGUAUCAGCUAAUACCUGGUGCGGAUGACGGUACCGGCAUAAGAAGCACCGGCUAACUACGUGCCAGCCGCCGCCGUAACAC
rnacentral:rRNA from 1 species